CUACAGGAUGCAGCAGUGAGGAAUAUUGCACAAUGGGGGGAACCCUGAUGCAGCGACGCCGCGUGGAGGAUGACGCAUUUCGGUGUGUAAACUCCUUUUAUAUGUCAAGAAAAUGACGGUAGCAUAUGAAUAAGCACCGGCUAACUCCGUGCCAGCAGCCGCGGUAAUACGGAGGGUGCAAGCGUUACUCGGAAUCACUGGGCGUAAAGGACGCGUAGGCGGGUUGGAAAGUCAGGUGUGAAAUCCUACAGCUUAACUGUAGAACUGCACUUGAAACAUCUAAUCUAGAGUAUGGGAGGGGGAGAUGGAAUUAGUGGUGUAGGGGUAAAAUCCGUAGAUAUCACUAGGAAUACCUAAAGCGAAGGCGAUCUCCUGGAACAUUACUGACGCUAAGGCGUGAAAGCGUGGGGAGCAAACAGGAUUAGAUACCCGAGUAGUC
rnacentral:rRNA from 1 species